AGGAGCUCAUUGCCAAUCUCUGGGAUUGCAAUCACUGGGAAAGCAGUGUUAGUAGCUGCAGAAGCCCGGUUGCAAUAGGCGAGGGGCAGAUUUUAGAUGAGGAAGUGGAGGGAGGGAGUGUAGACUACUUUUUCAAGAAGCUUGGUGCAAUAGGUAGGAGAAAACAACCAGUAACUUAAGAAGAAAAAGGGUUGAGAGAAAGUUUUGUUGGAUUUUAAGAUAGAGAGCAUUCGUUGACUAAGGGGAAGAGAUCUGUCAGUUUUCCUGAAGAUGAGCUUGUCUACUAUGAAAGAAAAUCAGUGCUCUUUAACUGUGGACUAAACCAAGACAGAUGUCCAGUUCUUGCCUCUUCCCACCAUGUAGUCUUCCUGAUUUUGUUUGGUUGAUACUACCACCAAAACAGGAGCCUUCCUGGGGCCCGCCUGGUGGCGCAGCAGUUAAGUGUGCACGUUCUGCUUUGGCGGCCCGGGAUUCACCUGUUCGGAUCCUGUGUGCAGACCUACGCACGACUUAUCAAGCAAUGCUGUGGCAGGCCUCCCACAGAUAAAGUAGAGGAAGGUGGGCACAGAUGUUAGCUCAGGGCCAGUCUUCCUCAACAAAAAGAAGAGGAUUGGCGGCAGAUGUUAGCUCAGGGAUAGUCUUCCUCAAAAAUAAAGAAAAAAAAUAAACAGAAGCCUUCCUGAUGACUGUCCUCCGAGUCUUACUGCCCUGCAAUAUCUGCUAGAGAAGUAAUUCAUUGUGGAAAACCAUAUUUGACAAAGGAAUAGG
rnacentral:lncRNA from 1 species